rnacentral:rRNA from 1 species
UACGUAGGGUGCGAGCGUUGUCCGGAAUUAUUGGGCGUAAAGGGCUCGUAGGCGGUUUGUCGCGUCGGGAGUGAAAACCUUGGGCUUAACUCAGGGCUUGCUUUCGAUACGGGCAGACUAGAGGUAUGCAGGGGAGAACGGAAUUCCUGGUGUAGCGGUGAAAUGCGCAGAUAUCUGGAGGAACACCGGUGGCGAAGGCGGCAUCCUGGACCGACACUGACGCUGAGGAGCGAAAGCCAGGGGAGCAAACGGG